GAAAUGCUGCAGCAAAGUACCACUGCACUCAGAGACGAAAUGGUGGCAAGACAUGUGCUAGACACAGUGCACUAGCACAUUUUCGUCCAACAGUGUUUUUCUUGUAAAUGUGGUGCUGGUUGCCUCAAAAUAAAGUUUAUGUGUAGUGCUUGCAUUUUCUAUGGCAUGCAGUCACUGCAAUCUACUAUUCCCUGCACAGACCGGCAGCACAAAAAGGUGAGCACUGUUUGCCAUUGCUGCACCUAUGUGCAGGUGACAUAACCCCUCUGCAUUCCACCGAUGGCCAUUGCCACUACACUAUUUUUAACUUUUGUCGCAUUGUUUCUCACCCCUCCCUUUCCUUAAAGCAGUCUCGGACCUCUACCAUAGAGCCCAGCUUUCUGGAAGAAACUUCUUACUCCUAUCCUUUCCUCGCACACACAAAUGCAUGUCUACAGACAACAGCUGCAGCAGAUGAUCUGCAUUUUCAGGAGGAGAAUGCAUUUCAUUUUUCAGCCACAAUAAUUACCGUGCAUGUUUAUGCCGUUUAGCAAACUUUCGAGAAAAAAAUAAUAAUAAAGAAAUAAAAAAUACCGUGCAUACAAAGCUUAGCGCAGUGGCAUGCCUGAAGUAGUCCCGAUGACAUCAUGUAAGCCAAUCAGACUGCUCGCCCAAGUGACAUCACUCACCCAUUCUACGUAGAAUGGGCAGAGGCAGGUGAAAACAUGGGAAGCAGUGCUGCUGCAAUCUGUAGCAAUGCAGAUGUUUAAAACCUAACAAUAAAUUACACAGUUUACGCAGAGCACCAGAAUGCUUCUUGUAGUCGUUAAUGAUCAAUGUGUAGCACGGUUCUGAAUAGGUUCUGUGGUGACCAGAUAGGUGAUGGAUAUUUCAGUUGUGGGCCAACAAAGGUUGGUAAACUAUACUGUAGAACCUCGUUGAUAUGAUCCCGUUACGUACGAUUUUCCGGUAACAAUGUUCACGAUCGGGAACUAAAGAAGACCCAAUUGGGUUACGCUUGUUUUUUACCGGUUUAUAGGUUCCCGGAAAACACGAUCUUUCGCAUCAACGUUCAGUAGAUCGGCAAACUGCGAUCGUAUGAUAUGUUUUCCGGCCGCUAGAUGCCAUGUAAACAAGAAAAUGCAUGAGGCGCGCGUGAUCGAGAGCAGUAGCCGCCCGCUGCAGCAGCAUCGCCGCAAUACUCACCCGCCCGUCUCACAUGUAAACGCCGGCAUGGCCUCAGUUUAUUAUUCUGUUAUCAGCAAAUCGCCUCCCGGGUCGUCGCACGCCGCAUUCACAGCUAUCGCCGCCAACCCUAUUGCGAUAAGCAUCUUCACCUAUCUGUUUUACAGUGCGUGGGGCGUAGUGCUGUUGGAAGCAUACGGCACGCUUUUAGUAGGCGAUAAGACAAACGCGCCAGAAUUCCCCGCUGCAGGCAGCAAGAUGUGAGCGUCGCUUUUCGCCCCGGUGGCAUCCGGCGUCCCCUACCAGCUCGAUUUCGUUUCGGUUUUCCGUCGUUGUCCUAAAACACUACGCAAUAGGAAAACAACAAAACGCGUCUCGGGCCGCCGGAGCCCCACCAAUUCGAUACACGUCGACGUCUCGUGCCGCAACAAUUUGUGCAACACUUCGCAUUACGUAGAUGUCAACUACAGUUGAGUCUCAAACUUUUUAGUUGCUUCGGAUCGUAUGUUUUCCCGGUUAGUACGUUUCCACCGCGUUUUUUUCAAUAACGUAUGAACGAGGUUCUACUGUAUAUUGGAAGUAACAAUUGUUCUGUGCAGACUACGUUCUAAAUAGCUGAGUGUAUGUGAUGCUGUUGCAGUAAUUUUUCUGAUACUUCUUCUUUCUGGGGUUUUACAUGCCAAAACCAGUUCUGAUUAUGAGGCACGCCGUAGUGGAGGGCUCCGGAUUAGUUUUGGCCACCUGGGGUUCUUUAUUGAGCACUAAAACGCAAGCACACGGGCGUUUUUGCAUUUCGCCUCCAUCGAAAUGCGGCCGCCGCAGCCGGGAUUCGUUGACCACAACAGGGUUGAUGCAAGACAAAUACCUAAAUAUUUAUAUGAUGAUGUGGUAAUAACCAGAUCGUGAUUAAACAGAUAUGUGCAGACAAAAAAAAUUGGCUGAGGUUUAACUCUUGUAAACCUAGUUAUCACGAGCAAAAAGUCUGUUUGGCUUGGUUUUGCAAAGACUAUGCACACAGUGUUUCAUUAAUGCACGCUUCCGCACUUGGUAAGCUUCUCUAUAACAUGCUAAUCUGGUCUCCUUUUGCUCCGUUGUUUCAGCAGCCAACUUUGCCUUUGCUUGAGAUUUCGCAGCCUGCCGUCUAGCUAUAUCUACUGGAUGAUUGGAUUCAGCCUGUCGUUUGUGCUGAAGCGCACGCACAGACAGUCCAGCCGGUGCGCCAUCCAUGGCGAGACUGAGGGACCAAGUGCCAGCGAAGCAGCCGUCAAACCCUCGCCUAGUCACGUGGUACUGCAGCGGCGAGGCUCCAAGCGAGUGCAGCUGCGAUGCCUCUUUGCAGCAGAUCACGUGGCACGAUGUCACACCUGCCACACUUGCGCUCCGGCAGCUCACACUCCGGCGAAUCAAGGUCAUUGCGACACGAUGAAUGACCUUGCGAGACAUGGCGUAGUAGAGCUUUCGCUCUAAUAAUGUUUACAGCUGAAUGUUAUUUACACUUCUCUAAGCUAAAUAACAUUUGCCAUAGUUGUCACCACUGCAUAAUUUUAUAGAGAUCUUCUUGAAGAGCUAAAUGAUCGUCAGGUGUGUGAAUUUUGCAAUAAAUAAUGCCACUUGUCGGCAAACAA